GGACUAGGCACAUAUUGCAGUAGUGCUAGGCACUUGUACGCGAAUACAAAUAGGCAACUGAAUACUAUGGAACAGACUACUAGAUUAAAUUUGCUUUAUGUUUUCCUAUAUAUGCGAAUACAAAUAGACAAAUGCUUCAGUUCAUCAAUAUUAUUUUAGCAUCAACAUUUAUCUGUAAAAUUAGAUAAUUUCUGUUUGCUCAGCUAUCUCUGAAUUGUCUGCAAGGUAAUAUCUCUCUCCAAUAUUGCUUAUUGUUUUGUACACAUCAAGCAUGCUGGGCCUCUGCUCUGGAACGCGCUGUAUGCACUCAUAUGCAACUCUAAGUAACUCAAAAAUCUCACCAUCAUGUCCUUGCCCUAUUAUAGGGUUAUCAAUGGCAUCAUAUAGACAAAAAGAGCUAGAGAAGAGAGCACUUACCCAUUUAUCCAAACUUCCAUCAUCAGAAUUGUUUAAAGAAGUAGCCUUCUUCCCAGUGAUUAGCUCAAGCAGCACAAUUCCAAAGUUAAAAACAUCUUCCUUGAGAUAACACUGCUCCCAAAAUUCAAUAUCCAUAGAGAAACUACAGCUCGAAUUGAUCUCAUUUGGAUUGAUGAGCAUCGCCUUUCCAAAGUUUGAUAAAUGGGUAAGUGCUCU
rnacentral:misc_RNA from 1 species